UAAGCAACAGUCUUGUGCC
rnacentral:snRNA from 1 species